GACGAACGCUGGCGGCGUGCUUAACACAUGCAAGUCGAACGGAAAGGCCCUGCUUGCAGGGUACUCGAGUGGCGAACGGGUGAGUAACACGUGGGCGAUCUGCCCUGCACUUCGGGAUAAGCCUGGGAAACUGGGUCUAAUACCGGAUAGGAGCCAUUUUUAGUGUGAUGGUUGGAAAGUUUUUUCGGUGUAGGAUGAGCUCGCGGCCUAUCAGCUUGUUGGUGGGGUAAUGGCCUACCAAGGCGGCGACGGGUAGCCGGCCUGAGAGGGUGGACGGCCACAUUGGGACUGAGAUACGGCCCAGACUCCUACGGGAGGCAGCAGUGGGGAAUAUUGCACAAUGGGCGCAAGCCUGAUGCAGCGACGCCGCGUGGGGGAUGACGGCCUUCGGGUUGUAAACUCCUUUCGCCAGGGACGAAGCUUUUUGUGACGGUACCUAGAUAAGAAGCACCGGCUAACUACGUG
rnacentral:rRNA from 1 species